rnacentral:rRNA from 1 species
GUAGGUGGCAAGCGUUGUCCGGAAUUAUUGGGCGUAAAGCGCGCGCAGGCGGUUCUUUAAGUCUGAUGUGAAAGCCCACGGCUCAACCGUGGAGGGUCAUUGGAAACUGGAGAACUUGAGUACAGAAGAGGAAAGCGGAAUUCCACGUGUAGCGGUGAAAUGCGUAGAGAUGUGGAGGAACACCAGUGGCGAAGGCGGCUUUCUGGUCUGUAACUGACGCUGAGGCGCGAAAGCGUGGGGAGCAAACAGGAUUAGAUACCCUGGUAGUCCACGCCGUAAACGAUGAGUGCUAAGUGUUAGGGGGGUUUUCCGCCCCCCUUAGUGCUGCAGCUGACGCAUUAAGCACUCCGCCUGGGAGUACGGCCGCAAGGCUG